GCCUACACAUGCAGUCGACGGUAACAGGAAACAGCUUGCUGUUUCGCUGACGAGUGGCGGACCGGAGUGUAAUGUCUGGGAAACUGCCUGAUGGAGGGGGAUAACUACUGGAAACGGUAGCUAAUACCGCAUAACGUCGCAAGACCAAAGAGGGGGACCUUCGGGCCUCUUGCCAUCGGAUGUGCCCAGAUGGGAUUAGCUAGUAGGUGGGGUAACGGCUCACCUAGGCGACGAUCCCUAGCUGGUCUGAGAGGAUGACCAGCCACACUGGAACUGAGACACGGUCCAGACUCCUACGGGAGGCAGCAGUGGGGAAUAUUGCACAAUGGGCGCAAGCCUGAUGCAGCCAUGCCGCGUGUAUGAAGAAGGCCUUCGGGUUGUAAAGUACUUUCAGCGGGGAGGAAGGGAGUAAAGUUAAUACCUUUGCUCAUUGACGUUACCCGCAGAAGAAGCACCGGCUAACUCCGUGCCAGCAGCCGCGGUAAUACCGAAGGUGCAAGCGGUAAUCAGAAUUACUGGGCGUAAAGCGCACGCAUGCGGUUUGUUAACUCAGAUGUGAAAUCCCCGGGCUCAACCUGGCAACUGCAUCUGAUACUGGCA
rnacentral:rRNA from 1 species